UAGGAUGAAAUUAUUUAAGAUAUUUCUUUUACACGGAAAUGCGGCUGGUUUGGCCAUCCUAA
rnacentral:tRNA from 1 species